UGAUCAUGUUUUAUCUUUAAAGUUGCACUGUGUAACUUUUCUUGUGAAGGGAAAAUUGACUCUUGGGAGCUUUAAUCCAUGUUAUAAAGUGGUUAUCUCCUCAAAAACACAUCUGGAGUUGUGUUUUAUUUCAUUCACACAUGUUUGAGUAACGUUUUAUUAUUCGUCUGUUACAUCUCCAAAGCUCAAAAUGCGACGUUCCACCUUGUGAUGUCAUCAAGUGGUAGAUUUCAAAUUAACAGCUCGUUUUACCUUUUGUUCAGUAGAGAUCGGCAAUUCCAGGGCUGAAAUUAUUACCCAAAUUAUUCUAGAAAUGAAGGUGUGUGGAGUUUUUAAAAACACAGUGGAGCACUUCCUGUAUCACCACAUGAUGACAUCACAAGGUGGAACAGAGCGUUUUCAGUUUGAGAGAUGAAGAACUCAACACAAAUAUGAACAACUCCAGCUCUGUUUGUCAUGAGGAAACAACAUUAUAGCACAGAUACACAAAUACAUUAAAAACAAGCUUAAUGCCAUACUGUGAAACAUCCCAGAUAAAGCAACAUCUCCAUGGAAACAAGCACGUGACAGCUACGCAAUGCUCUUUAAACGUCAUUAGAUUAUGUAGCAGGUUCCGUGUACUAGCUUUAACUUACAAAUAAAUGUGUUCUCGGAUGAAUUAUAAGGUUGCUAAGUUUUAUUAAAGUGGAACUAAACGGCUAAACUCCGCCCACAACCACGUGACUAAAGAGAGUGAGAGAGAAGGAGGGGCGGGGUCUGGAGGUAUAAGGAGCAGCGUGAUUGGUCUAACAGGUGUCCACACUUCAGACUCCGCCCCUGCAGCCAGGUGAGUGUAAACACAAACACCGGGCUGUAAACGGGGCAGUCUUGGGUGAUGUCAUGUAGUACUUGAAAUAGCAGAGGUCACUGGAGUUAAAACUACAGUUGCCAAAAAAAUGACUAGAAGUAGUAGAUGAUAUUAUUAAAACAUCACAUACACAGCUUAGUCGUGAAAAAAGUGUGUUUAGUUUCACUUUAGCUCCUGUUGCUCUUGUGUUACCUGAGCUGCUCCUGUGGAGAAAUCAAGCGCUCUCCUGGUUCUGUUUGCUUCUUCUGCAGACGGGGGACAGUUCUGCGUCGGGGUCUCAAAAACUGUGAAGAAAUGUAUGUGCACUGCAGUCAGACUGAACCAGGUCUAGACCAGGACUAAACCAGGUCUAAACCAGGACUAAACCAGGACUAAACCAGAACUAAACCAGAACUAAACCCGGACUAAACCAGGUCUAAAACAGGAC
ensembl:lncRNA